GUGCUCUGUGCGCCCUUUGGGAGCACAUAUGCCAAAAUUGGAAUGGUACAGAGAAAAUGGUCCUAUAUGCAAGGAUAACACGUAAGUUCGCGAAGCGUUUCAUAUUUAA
ensembl:snRNA U6 U6 spliceosomal RNA